AACGAACGCUGGCGGCAGGCCUAACACAUGCAAGUCGAACGUGAAGCCACCUUCGGGUGGUGGAAAGUGGCAGACGGGUGAGUAACGCGUGGGAACGUGCCUUUCGGUUCGGAAUAACCCAGGGAAACUUGGGCUAAUACCGGAUACGCCCUUCGGGGGAAAGAUUUAUCGCCGAAAAAUCGGCCCGCGUCGGAUUAGCUAGUUGGUAGGGUAAUGGCCUACCAAGGCGACGAUCCGUAGCUGGUCUGAGAGGAUGACCAGCCACACUGGGACUGAGACACGGCCCAGACUCCUACGGGAGGCGGCAGUGGGGAAUAUUGGACAAUGGGCGAAAGCCUGACCCAGCCAUGCCGCGUGGGUGAAGAAGGCCCUAGGGUUGUAAACCCCUUUCAGCGGGGAAGAUAAUGACGGUACCCGCAGAAGAAGCCCCGGCUAACUCCGUGCCAGCAGCCGCAGUAACAC
rnacentral:rRNA from 1 species